rnacentral:lncRNA from 1 species
CACUGCCAUGGGACAUUGAUGCUCAGGAUGGUUCUGUGGUAGUCAUAACUCUGGUAUCCUGAGACUAGUGUCCUUCUCCUAGGCAAGGGCAGCCCCAGGCUGGGGCACAGGAGAAAAGGCCCAGGCUAGGUUGUCAGUCUGCUAGGGACAGCUGUUUGUUGUGGGAUCACAGAUGAGAUCAGGAGAAGGACAACUGAAAGGAGAAGAGAGGAGACCAUCUCACACUGUCCAAUAUCACACUGUCCUGAUUACCAUAGUUACCAUACACAUCUUGAAAUCAGGAUCUCAUUCUGUCUGUGAACAUGGAUUCCACUUGUGUCUGAGACUUCCAGGGAUUCCAGCUCUCCCAAUUGCCUGUGUUUGGCCUUUAUGAAUGUGUUACAUUUUCAGUUGUUUCCUUCUUACCCACUUUUAUGGCUGUCAUUUCUUCCAUACAUGCUGUGCCGGAGGUGACGCAGUUUGUGUGUCUCAUCUCUCCUCAGAAUGACUUGUCACCCUUUUAUAUCAUGGAACAUAUAUCAUGGGAACAUGGCUGACUUGUUAGCUCUCUGACGAUCUAAUAAAAAACUGUAAUGUCA